GAUGAACGCUGGCGGCGUGCCUAAUACAUGCAAGUCGAGCGAACAGACGAGGAGCUUGCUCCUCUGACGUUAGCGGCGGACGGGUGAGUAACACGUGGAUAGCCUACCUAUAAGACUGGGAUAACUUCGGGAAACCGGAGCUAAUACCGGAUAACAUGUUGAACCGCAUGGUUUAACAGUGAAAGACGGUCUUGCUGUCACUUAUAGAUGGAUCCGCGCCGCAUUAGCUAGUUGGUAAGGUAACGGCUUACCAAGGCAACGAUGCGUAGCCGACCUGAGAGGGUGAUCGGCCACACUGGAACUGAGACACGGGCCAGACUCCUACGGGAGGCAGCAGUAGGGAAGCUUCCGCAAUGGGCGAAAGCCUGACGGAGCAACGCCGCGGGAGUGAAGAAGGGCUUCGGAUCGUAAAACUCUGUUAUGAGGGAAGAACAAAUGUGUAAGUAACUAUGCACGUCUUGACGGUACCUAAUCAGAAAGCCACGGCUAACUACGU
rnacentral:rRNA from 1 species